rnacentral:rRNA from 1 species
GACGAACGCUGGCGGCGUGCUUAACACAUGCAAGUCGAACGAGAGCGUAGAGAAAGCUUGCUUUUUCUACAAUCUAGUGGCAAACGGGUGAGUAACGCGUAAACAACCUGCCCUACGGAUGGGGACAACAGCUGGAAACGGCUGCUAAUACCGAAUACGUUCCGAAAGUCGCAUGACUAUCGGAAGAAAGGAUGGCCUCUAUUUAUAAGCUAUCGCCGGAGGAGGGGUUUGCGUCUGAUUAGCUAGUUGGAGGGGUAACGGCCCACCAAGGCGACGAUCAGUAGCCGGUCUGAGAGGAUGAACGGCCACAUUGGAACUGAGACACGGGCCAGACUCCUACGGGAGGCAGCAGUGGGGAAUCUUCCGCAAUGGGCGAAAGCCUGACGGAGCAACGCCGCGUGAGUGAAGACGGCCUUCGGGUUGUAAAGCUCUGUUAUACGGGACGAAUAAUCUUGUGGUUAAUACCCAUGAGAAGUGACGGUACCGUAAGAGAAAGCCACGGCUAACUACGUG